AAUCUAUGUGUCUUUUGGUAUAUUUCUCGUUGUCUUCUUACUCGUGGUCUUUCGAGGUUUGCAUUGCUAGAUUCCGCGUUACACCUGCUUAUUUACGAUCCUAACACAACAGUGGGGAUAGAUCAUUCUAUGACCUGUUUGAGGAGUGUAUUAAUGCAUUGAAGAUAGUGUUGAGUAUUGAAGGUUGAUAACAAUGUCUAAUUGACAUUAGGUAACCAAAAGCUAAAAAGCAUUUUUGACUUCAAGGAAAAUAGUUGCAAUCUGAUUAUUGUCUUUGGAAUCUGGAAUAGUUGGGCAGGUUGGGAAGUUUGCCUUUUAAGGAAAAUAGUUUUGCAGUCUGGAAUACAGUAUGUAGUUUCCAAGUUACUUAGUAGUAAGUACACUUUGCAAAUUGAGCAAUAUUACCUCUAAAUAGUAAAUUGAGAGUGACAGAUAUUUAAAGCAUGAAUGAUUAUAUAAACUACUGCAAUCUUGACUUCUUGCCUCUUCAAUAAAUGUGCAAUAUGGAACUUCUUGCCUAUUCUAUAACCAUCACAAUCUGAUUUGUGUAGAAAAAUUGAGGUGAACAAAUUUUAAGUGGAUGAUGAAGAGUUUUUGAACUAUUGUAAAAGUUUGAAUACAUAUAAUAUUUGAUUUUGUGAAAUAUAUUCAUUGGUGGAAUAUAUUGAACUAUUGUAAGAGUAAUUUUUGAACUAUUGUAUACACAUUUAAAAUAUUGCUUUAUAAGUAUGUGAAUGUACACAAGGCAUAUGAUGUUUUGAAGUUUAUGGAAAAUCUAUAAAUUUGUAAGAGUACUUAAUUCUCGAGAUUAUUUAUUGCAAGACAGUACUGGUGUAUUUUACUUAGAAAUUGUGGCAUAUAAAUUGUGUAUGCAUAUGGGCAAAGACUACACUUCAAAGUGUUGUCAUAUAUUAGAUAUAAAAGGCAACACUUCAUAAUUGUGGGCAAUAAGGUAGCAAAGACCACACUUAAAAUAGCAGGUAAGAUAACACUUUUAAAUGUAGCUGGAAAGUGUGGCCUUUUGCAUAUUAGGCUACUCUUGAAAGUGUCGCUGCUAAAACCACACUUUUAAGCGUAGCUGAAAAACGUGGUCUUUUUGCCUUUAAGGCUACGCUUAAAAGUGUAGAUGAUACGGCAACACUUUUAAGCAUAGCUGCAAAAGCAUGGCCUUUUUGUUUUUUGGCAACGCUUAUAUGCGUAGCUGCUAAGGCAACACUUUCAAAGUAUUUCCUAAACUCUAAGGUUACGGGACUUUCAGACACCCCUGAAAAAGUGUGGCUUAAAGUCAAAAAGUGUGGUCUUUUAUCAAAGGCCACACUUUUUCAUAGUUUAGGCCACACUUUUCUUAGGUGGUUGUAGACAUAAAAUGUUGUAGUGGUUAUUUCUGCCCGAUCUUUUGUUUUUUUCCCAAACUCAACUCAACUCAUAUCCACUAAACAUCUUCGGUAAAAACUCUCGAAAUAUUAUAAACCAGAACAAUUUCAAUGAAACCCACUCGAGAACUAUCAAUUUACUCAACUCUUACCAAAAUCCUCAUAUCAAUAACUCAACUAAACAUAAAAAUAUGGAAUGGAGAGCAACACUUCAAGAACACUCAUCUAGAACUUAAUUUCUCAAUUUACGGAUGAAUUCGAUAAUGUAAAUUAUGAUUGGCGUGUGGGUUAACGAACUCAUCACUAUGAAAACUUACAUACCUCUAUUUGGCAAAAAAAUUCCUCAAUUAGCAAGAAAUCUUGAUUUUUCUUUCGUUUCUCCUUUUUUCCUCUUGUUGAACUCUCUUCUUAAACACUAAGCAUAAUUUAGGAUUUGUGAAACUAACAAAUCAUAUUUGACCCCAAUAUUACUAAAAACAUUUUUAAUCUGAUGAGAUAAGAAAAAGACCUUAGGAUGGCAUAGCCUUAAAAAAGAGAAUUUCAAGACCUUUCAUUUGAUAUCUUACGGGCUACCUAACUCGUCAUGUACUAAAAUUUAUGGCCAAAUGAGGUUGACACAAAACUCACAUCUUAAGCAUAACUUGCCAAAUUCCCAAAUUGAAUCUUUCCAAAUUAGUUCUUUCUACUAUUAGCUCUUUCUAAGACGGGAUGUUACGCUAGAUUACUUUAGAUACUCUUGAUACAGUUGGUAAAGGACUUUAUGACACAUGAUCAAGUAGAUUUUUUUUUGGAAAACUAUAUGCAAAACGGAGGCAUACCAAUAUCAUAUUGGUUACAUGAAUAAUAGACAACACAUAGUUUAUGCUAGAACACCUACAAUCAUGCUAAAGCACAUAUGUGAGACCUUGUGGUUCUUUCGCAUAAUACGUGUAUCAUUUUAUGAGUGUAUAAGACUUAUAUGAUUUGGUAUAUCAUUUCAGGAGAAUAAGGUUUCAAAGGAUAGGUAAAAAAAAUCAUAGAAUUAUAUUAAUGUUAUUGGUCAAGGAUGCCCUUAAACAAGUUCGAGCUAAAGACUGUCUCUUUUGACACCUCACCCGUUUGGAAUGUCAAGUUAUCCAGUACCUUUGGGGUAGGACAAAGAGUUUAUUAUAUGCUAAAAAGGAUGUUCUAUUUUCAAUGAUCACAAUUUAAGUUUUGAAGUCAAUCAAGUAGGGAAAUAAAAAGUCGGCAAAAGUUAGAGCUACUAAGUUUCUUUGAUAAAUUUUCUAAAAUUUGGGUUAAAUGUCUCAUACUCUUAUCCCAAACUAUAAAGAUUUUGGAGAACCCAAUGUACCAAAUCAAAGUAUACAUUUCUAAUUUCCAACGCACUAAACCAUUUGUCUUCAGAAUCGAGAGAUAUUUAGAUUUUAGUGAGACUGCACAAGCAUGCACAUGAAGGUGGACCCCUAGCUCCUAUGUUGAUUUAGCUUUAUAAGAUUUGAUUUCUCCUUCAUCUUAUCUUAUCUUUUUCAACCAAAAUAAGAAUAAAACGUUCAUAAAUCCUCUCUAAAGGUUACCCUAUCAUCCAAACAAAGAUCUACAAGAUUUCAAUGUGGUUUCACCCUCGGAAUGUUCAUGAAGAUUAUGCUACUUCUUUCCUCCUCUUUGGUUUGUAAUUUGAGGAUUCUUCAUGGUGAAGGAGUAUAAUUUUAAGUGGUAUUGCUGGUUUUUGGACGUAAUAAUUCUCACACUUUAUUUUAUUGAGUGAUUUAAAGUUACAGCUACAAUAUAUUAGCAAGAACAAGAAUAGACGGCGGAAAAAAUUGUAUUUGGAUAGUUACGUGAUGUUGGGCUGUUUUGAAGUAUUUUCUGAUGUUGUUGUUACUGAAAUUUGUGGAAAUGCUUUGUAUGUGUUUCUUAUAUGAGUCUGGAAGAGAAGAAGUAGUAUAGUGUAAGAUAAAUUAGUGUAACAUUGGUUCUAUUAUUGCAUUGGAAUUUUCAAAUUGUUUCUUCUUGAUUCAACAUCUUGUAUUUGAGGAGACUGUUUGUUAUAGACAAUACAUGUAAAAUAUUAUACACUCCAUCAAGUUUAAGUUAAAUUUUUGCCGUUUUAACCUCUUAUUUCUUAUGAAGAGAAAGACAUGAUUCCAAAUGUAACUAUUGGACGAACUCAUAAGAUGGUGAUCGAAAGCGAUUACCUACUCUAAGGAAGGGGUACAGUCCGCAUUAAUAUCACAAUACCCUGAAUUUGAGGUAUGUUAAGGCUAAGCGUUACUUUGACCAUGAAUUUUAGAAUCCUAAAUCGUCAAAGGUUGUUUUACUAUUCUAUUGUUAGAAAGACCUUCUGUGAAAUUCAUUGGCAUUGCACCUGACGUAUUUUGUGAUUCUAUUAUGUUAAUAUUCCACUCAUUCGGUUAUAUAGGUUACUUGGCGUCUAUGUGUCAUUUUGUCGAUUCCUUUGACGGUAGGUCCCCGUGUAUUUUCUUCUUCUUCUUCUUUAGGUGUUGUAACUUAGAAAUAUUAGGGAAGAACAUUAAGAUUUUGAAAUCAAUCCUCCUUCCUUGUUACUUUCUUCUUUUUUUUGAAAAACUUAAAAAUAAUAUGUCAAUUUUCGAAACUCUUAAAUGUAACUCGUAUGUUUAAACUACUAAAGGACAUGUUUUCUGAAAUAUUUUCUUUUACAAACUACUAAGAAAACCUAUAUGAAUACUAAGUGAAGAACCUUGAGAUCUUUAUGAACAUUCUCAAGUAUAAGUUACAUUCGUAAUUUGACUUAAGUGUCUAGUUAAAUCUACAAGCAUAUGGUUAUACAAGAUAUUUACAUGUGAGGCGAAAGUGACUAGAGAUUAUGAGGACAAGAGUACCAACGAGCUAAGAUUGACAACAUGAUUCAGGUAACACAAAUGCAUUAAGAUCCAUGACAUUACAUGUUAUGCAUUCUACUUUCGAGCUAUAAUUUAAAGUAUGGAGGCCUAUUGCCUAUAUUUAUACGUAUGAGACACAGAUGGCCACAAGUUGGCGAAUAUGAUGGUUCGUUACCGGAAGGCACCACCAUUGCUAGCAGUUGGUUGCAUAUGGCAUGCAUUUGCAUAUGUGUGUGUGUGUGUGUGUGUAUAUAUAUAUAUAUAUAUAUAUAUAUAUAUAUAUAUAUUCACGACAUAAAUUAUGCGAGCAUACACACAUAUUUAAUUUAUAUAAUGUAGGAUGUCAAUCAUAUAGGUUAUCAGAGUUUCUAUUUCAGGUGGUAUCUUUAUUACCCUUUUGUAGAAACUAUUCAUGAUUCUAUUUUCCACCUUGCAUACCAGUACAUCUUUAUCCGUACUAACGUCCUGGGACACUACAUAUUUUGUUUCAUACGUUCAAGUUCAAGUAGGGAUUCUAAUCGACUCCUCCACUAGAAUUCGAGGUUCAACUGUGAGUUGAUGAAGUUAUGCAUGAGAGCACAUAAUUGAAAAGUAAGUUGACGAAAUGGAAGAAUUAUUGCAAUAGAAGAUAUACUACUUCAGACAAGAGGAUAUGAAGGUAAAUUAACAAAAUUGAAGAAUCAUUCCACAAGAAGAUUUACUGCUUCAGGGUCUCUAUUUUACGAAAAUAACAUUAUUUCCGGUGCCAUUAUUCCUACUUCUGCAGCUAUAAGUUUACAUUUUUACCCAAUCUGGGAAGCGACAUCCGUUGAUGAAUGGUUAUAUAUACAAUCUAAAUUCUAAAGGAUCAUGAAAAGACAAUUAUUGUCUCUUAUAUAAAAUUAUAAUACUAAUUAAUAUUUAAUUAUAUUUAUACUCUCUUCGUCUCAUUUUAUGUUACACCCUUUGACUUGAUCAGGUGUUUAAGAAAAAAAACUUUUAAAAGUGUGGUAAAUUCUAUUUAAUUAGAUAAAAUAAUAUUUGUGAGAAUAGACAAUGAAGAAAAAUAUGUCACAUAAAAUAAAUCAGACGAAGGAAGUAUGAUAUUUAGGACCGCGCGAAGCGCGGCCAGUUACACUAGUUUGUAAUAAAUGUUAGCCAUGAAAAUCAAACUAGCAAUGCUAAUUUUCAAUUUUUCUACAGUUAUUAAUAAUUGUGACAAUAAUUUGACUAAA